UUUGAUUAUAAGUGUUUAUUUUAUUAUUAUUAUUAGAAUAAAAAUUGUUAAUUAUUUAUAUAUGUUAUGGCCUAUGCCUGAUGUCUGGCCAAUUUGCAGAGUGGCUGGCCACUUCUAGAUUUAGCCAAAUCACUUGGCCAAAGCCCAAAAUAUAUGAGAAUUUACAACUGUUUUGGGCUUUGGCCGGCCAAUUCAUAAUGUGCCAAGAAAAAUUGGCCAAAGCUAAAAGUUUUGAGGAGCUGAUCAUGCAGUUAAGAGAGUUGAUCAUAUCUAUUCUAACUCAUUAUCACUGUGAAAAAUCUGUUUAGUCAAAGUAGAAAAAAUUAUUUCUAAAAACAAAGAGAAAAGCUAAUCAGUAAUCAAAU
rnacentral:lncRNA from 1 species